GACGAACGCUGGCGGCGUGCCUAAUACAUGCAAGUAGAACGCUGAAGAGAGGAGCUUGCUCUUCUUGGAUGAGUUGCGAACGGGUGAGUAACGCGUAGGUAACCUGCCUGGUAGCGGGGGAUAACUAUUGGAAACGAUAGCUAAUACCGCAUAAAAUUGAUUAUUGCAUGAUAAUUAAUUGAAAGAUGCAACUGCAUCACUACCAGAUGGACCUGCGUUGUAUUAGCUAGUUGGUGAGGUAACGGCUCACCAAGGCGACGAUACAUAGCCGACCUGAGAGGGUGAUCGGCCACACUGGGACUGAGACACGGCCCAGACUCCUACGGGAGGCAGCAGUAGGGAAUCUUCGGCAAUGGGGGGAACCCUGACCGAGCAACGCCGCGUGAGUGAAGAAGGUUUUCGGAUCGUAAAGCUCUGUUGUAAGAGAAGAACGGGUGUGAGAGUGGAAAGUUCACACUGUGACGGUAUCUUACCAGAAAGGGACGGCUAACUACGUGCCAGCAGCCGCGGUAAUACGUAGGUCCCGAGCGUUGUCCGGAUUUAUUGGGCGUAAAGCGAGCGCAGGCGGUUAGAUAAGUCUGAAGUUAAAGGCUGUGGCUUAACCAUAGUAUGCUUUGGAAACUGUUUAACUUGAGUGCAGAAGGGGAGAGUGGAAUUCCAUGUGUAGCGGUGAAAUGCGUAGAUAUAUGGAGGAACACCGGUGGCGAAAGCGGCUCUCUGGUCUGUAACUGACGCUGAGGCUCGAAAGCGUGGGGAGCAAACAGGAUUAGAUACCCUGGUAGUCCACGCCGUAAACGAUGAGUGCUAGGUGUUAGGCCCUUUCCGGGGCUUAGUGCCGCAGCUAACGCAUUAAGCACUCCGCCUGGGGAGUACGACCGCAAGGUUGAAACUCAAAGGAAUUGACGGGGGCCCGCACAAGCGGUGGAGCAUGUGGUUUAAUUCGAAGCAACGCGAAGAACCUUACCAGGUCUUGACAUCCCUCUGACCGCUCUAGAGAUAGAGUUUUCCUUCGGGACAGAGGUGACAGGUGGUGCAUGGUUGUCGUCAGCUCGUGUCGUGAGAUGUUGGGUUAAGUCCCGCAACGAGCGUAACCCCUAUUGUUAGUUGCCAUCAUUCAGUUGGGCACUCUAGCGAGACUGCCGGUAAUAAACCGGAGGAAGGUGGGGAUGACGUCAAAUCAUCAUGCCCCUUAUGACCUGGGCUACACACGUGCUACAAUGGCUGGUACAACGAGUCGCAAGCCGGUGACGGCAAGCUAAUCUCUGAAAGCCAGUCUCAGUUCGGAUUGUAGGCUGCAACUCGCCUACAUGAAGUCGGAAUCGCUAGUAAUCGCGGAUCAGCACGCCGCGGUGAAUACGUUCCCGGGCCU
rnacentral:rRNA from 1 species